CCGUUUUGAUCCCUACUCAGGUGCUCAGCUGCCCCAGGGAGCCACCGCUGGAGCCCAGGCCAUGCCCGACUGGAGCAGAACUGAUUUCAGCCAGUCCCCAGAUGGAUGAGUCCCUGCAGAGCUCAGUCCCUCCUCGCAGAAGACAUUGUAGUCAAAGUCCUAAUGAUCUUGAACAGGCUUCCUCCCAGGAGAAGGAACUUGAACAUCCUAGGGUGCCUUGAAGGUGUACCAGCCCUAGCCUAGGCAAAAAACUGGGAGUAACUGGAAACAUCACCACACUGGCCAGACCAACAGUGUCUUCUGCCUGGAGAACCUACAAACAGGAUCAACAGCAUCUAGGGAUGUAGCCGUCAACUGUGGCAUAAGCAGGCUCACCUGAAACA